AUUGAACGCUAGCGGCAUGCCUAACACAUGCAAGUCGAGCGGAGCGGCGGACGGGUGAGUAAUGCCUAGGAAUCUGCCCGGUAGUGGGGGAUAACGACGGGAAACGGGCGCUAAUACCACAUACUAUUGGAUGAGCCGAUGUCGGAUUAGCUAGUUGGUGGGGUAAAGUCCUACCAAGGCGACGAUCCGUAGCUGGUCUUAGAGGACGAUCAGUCACACUGGAACUGAGACACGGCCCAUAAUCCUACGGGAGGCAGCAGUGGGGAAUAUUGGACAAUGGGCGAAAGCCUGAUCAAGCCAUGCCGCGUGUGUGAAGAAGGUCGUCGGGUUGUAAAGUACUUGAAGUUGGGAGGCGUUACCUGCAGAAUAAGCACCGGCUAACUUCGUGCCAGCAGCCGCGGUAAUUC
rnacentral:rRNA from 1 species